UGCUUUCCACGAGAAAAUUCGAUAAAAACUAAAAAGCAAAUCACUCCUCUCCCUCCCCUACACUCCCCUCCAUCACAGGCCAAGCAUAAAACAAAGCCCAAAGAAACAAAAGCAAAGACCGCCAUCAUCAUCACUACAUGCGAGUAGAGGCAAAAAAAAGAAGAUUAAACAAAAGAAUGGUGAGAAUCCUUCAGCAACACUCCUCUCGCAACGCCCUACUCUCAGCUCUCGAUCCCUCUUCUCUCCUCCUCCUCCUCCUCCUACUCGCUUUCAGUCACGCCCGCCUAGUGAAGCCCAACGCCUACAUAUACUCCGGCUGCUCGCAAGAGAAGUACCAGCCGGGCUCGCUCUUUGAGUCCAACCUGAACUCCGUCCUCACGUCCGUCGUGAGCUCGUCGUCCCAGGCCACGUACAACAGCUUCGCCGUCGGCAAUGGCACUGCCGCCCCGCCCGAGGGCUUGAUCUACGGGCUGUACCAGUGCCGGGGCGAUCUGAACCUCGUCGAAUGCUCGGGAUGCAUCCAGAGCGCCGUGAGCCAGAUGAGCCUGGUGUGUCCCUACUCGUACGGGGCUUCCCUUCAGCUCGACAGCUGCUACGUGAGGUACGAGCACAUGGAUUUCUUGGGGAGGCUCGACACGGGCUUGAGGUACCAUAAGUGCAGCAAGAGUGCCGGGAGCGAUCAGGAGUUCUUCCGGCGCAGAGACGACGUCCUCGCUGACUUGAGAGGUGCGAUAGGUUUUCGGGUCAGCCGCUCGGGACUUGUCCAGGGUUUUGCCCAGUGUUUAGGCGAUCUGAGCACGGCCGAUUGCUCCACUUGCCUCUCGCAGGCGGUGGAGGAGUCGAGGACCCUGUGUGGAACCGCGGCAGCAGCGGACGUCUUCCUGGCUCAGUGUUAUGUGCGCUACUGGGCUUCCGGCUACUACGAUUUCUCUUCGGUUCAAAAACACAAUGUUCGACUGCUUUACUGCACUCUAGAGCGAGGGAAAGUGAGUGUAAUUUCAAAAAAAUUUCUCAGCCAAGAGCUCGUUCUUCCAACAAUGAGGACCAAGCGGGCAAGACCGUUGCCAUCAUCGUGGGAGUAGUCGGAGCUCUUGCCGUCUUAAUCGUCCUCCUCUCGCUCUGCCGAAAAGCGAUGGGCUGAGAAGAGAGAAUAUGCAGCAUUCCAUGGAGGACACAACCAUGAGGGAUAUAUGGUCCAUCUCUCAGUUACUUUUCUUCUUCUUCUUCUUUUUAAUUUUUUUUCUUUUGGGUUUUUGUUUUUGAGUCUUUGUUUAAGGCCGAAGCAAAGUCUCGACCAAUCCUUUUGACUGUGGAUGGCAAUAUAUAAUUUGACUUCAAAAGAAUAUUGCGAGUCUACGUGUAAAGUUAAGAAUA